AGCAGUAGGGAAUCUUCCACAAUGGGCGAAAGCCUGAUGGAGCAACGCCGCGUGGGUGAAGAAGGUCUUCGGAUCGUAAAACCCUGUUGUUAGAGAAGAAAGUGCGUGAGAGUAACUGUUCACGUUUCGACGGUAUCUAACCAGAAAGCCACGGCUAACUACGUGCCAGCAGCCGCGGUAAUACGUAGGUGGCAAGCGUUAUCCGGAUUUAUUGGGCGUAAAGGGAACGCAGGCGGUCUUUUAAGUCUGAUGUGAAAGCCUUCGGCUUAACCGAAGAAGUGCAUCGGAAACCGGGCGACUUGAGUGCAGAAGAGGACAGUGGAACUCCAUGUGUAGCGGUG
rnacentral:rRNA from 1 species